rnacentral:lncRNA from 1 species
UUCCACCAGAACCAGGACUUCCUGUACCUGACAGCACAGAGGAGCUGGGUGAAAUGCUAAAAAGCUUGAAAGGCUGCUCAGCAGCUCUGCCCCCAUCAUUACUACCUGGGCAUGGAUGUUCAUGACACCCCUGAGCUGUCCCGUUCACAACCACUGCAACCUGGCAUGGUGAUCACAACCAGGAGAGCCAGUUGAAGACCACUUUUAUUCAAAAACAGUUAAUGUUGCAUGAUUAUACAUCAGCGAGGACGACAGUUCAUGUCCAGAGCGAAUCCAGGGUCAUGGGGUUCGGAUUGAGGAUGAUGUGCUGAUCCGAGAACACAGGGGACCCCUCAUCCUGUCUGCAAACACCCCCAAAACCAUCGCAGGUGGAAA